rnacentral:rRNA from 1 species
CUGUCUGAAUAUGGGGGGACCAUCCUCCAAGGCUAAAUACUCCUGACUGACCGAUAGUGAACCAGUACCGUGAGGGAAAGGCGAAAAGAACCCCGGCGAGGGGAGUGAAAAAGAACCUGAAACCGUGUACGUACAAGCAGUGGGAGCACGCUUAGGCGUGUGACUGCGUACCUUUUGUAUAAUGGGUCAGCGACUUAUAUUCUGUAGCAAGGUUAACCGAAUAGGGGAGCCGAAGGGAAACCGAGUCUUAACUGGGCGUUAAGUUGCAGGGUAUAGACCCGAAACCCGGUGAUCUAGCCAUGGGCAGGUUGAAGGUUGGGUAACACUAACUGGAGGACCGAACCGACUAAUGUUGAAAAAUUAGCGGAUGACUUGUGGCUGGGGGUGAAAGGCCAAUCAAACCGGGAGAUAGCUGGUUCUCCCCGAAAGCUAUUUAGGUAGCGCCUCGUGAAUUCAUCUCCGGGGGUAGAGCACUGUUUCGGCAAGGGGGUCAUCCCGACUUACCAACCCGAUGCAAACUGCGAAUACCGGAGAAUGUUAUCACGGGAGACACACGGCGGGUGCUAACGUCCGUCGUGAAGAGGGAAACAACCCAGACCGCCAGCUAAGGUCCCAAAGUCAUGGUUAAGUGGGAAACGAUGUGGGAAGGCCCAGACAGCCAGGAUGUUGGCUUAGAAGCAGCCAUCAUUUAAAGAAAGCGUAAUAGCUCACUGGUCGAGUCGGCCUGCGCGGAAGAUGUAACGGGGCUAAACCAUGCAC